AAUAAGUAAAUGACAAAUCAGAUUUUUCCUUCUGAUUUUCAGUAUUUUUCUGCUGACAAAAUUCAAAUCUAGCUAAAAAAGCUUAAAAUCAGGAGGAAAAAUUUGAUUUGUCAUUUUUCUAUU
rfam:Gossypium arboreum cultivar AKA8401 contig_13458_3, whole genome shotgun sequence.